GACAUUCGCAUACGCAUACCGUAGACAGUAGGUGCCUGAAGAGGCUUAAUUUCCUACCGAGGUGUUAUGAUAAACGUUUGAAGCUGCGGGUUUUCGGACUUUCGCAAGUGGAACGGACCAUCAUGGCCUUCGCUAAUGUCGCGGAGGCCUUUUCUCAUGCACCG
rfam:Paenibacillus beijingensis strain DSM 24997, complete genome.